UACGGAGGGUGCGAGCGUUGUCCGGAAUCAUUGGGCGUAAAGGGCGCGUAGGUGGCCCGGUCAGUUCGUGGUGAAAGCGCGGGGCUCAACCCUGCGUCGGCCAUGAAUACUGCCGCGGCUGGAGCACUGUAGAGGCAGGCGGAAUUCCGGGUGUAGCGGUGGAAUGCGCAGAUAUCAGGAGGAACACCGAUGGCGAAGGCAGCUCGCUGGGCGGUGACUGACGCUGAAGCGCGAAAGCGUGGGGAGCGAACAGG
rnacentral:rRNA from 1 species